UGCAACUCGAGUGCAUGAAGCUGGAAUCGCUAGUAAUCGCGAAUCAGAAUGUCGCGGUGAAUACGUUCCCGGGUCUUGUACACACCGCCCGUCACACCAUGGGAGUCGGGAAUGCCCGAAGCCGGUGACCCAACCUUAAGGAGGGAGCCGUCGAAGGCAGGCCUGGUAACUGGGGUGAAGUCGUAACAAGGUAGC
rnacentral:rRNA from 1 species